rnacentral:rRNA from 1 species
UUGACCUCGGAUCAGGUAGGACUACCCGCUGAACUUAAGCAUAUCAAUAAGCGGAGGAAAAGAAACCAACAGGGAUUGCCCCAGUAACGGCGAGUGAAGCGGCAACAGCUCAAAUUUGAAAUCUGGCCUUCGGGUCCGAGUUGUAAUUUGGAGAGGAUGCUUCUGGCGCGGCACCGUCCGAGUUCCUUGGAACAGGACGCCAUAGAGGGUGAGAGCCCCGUACGGGCGGCUGCCUAGCCUUUGUGAAGCUCCUUCGACGAGUCGAGUAGUUUGGGAAUGCUGCUCAAAAUGGGAGGUAAAUUUCUUCUAAAGCUAAAUACCGGCCAGAGACCGAUAGCGCACAAGUAGAGUGAUCGAAAGAUGAAAAGCACUUUGAAAAGAGGGUUAAAAAGUACGUGAAAUUGUUGAAAGGGAAGCGCCUGUGACCAGACUUGCGGCUCGCGGAUCAUCCAGUGUUCUUCACCGGUGCACUCCGCGGGCUGCAGGCCAGCAUCGGUUUUCCUGGGGGGACAAAGGUCGCGGGAACGUAGCUCUUUCGGGAGUGUUAUAGCCCGUGGCGUCAUGCCUCCGGGGGGACCGAGGACCGCGCUUCGGCAAGGAUGCUGGCGUAAUGGUCACCGGCGACCCGUCUUGAAACACGGACCAAGGAGUCAAGCAUUGGGGCNGAGUGUCUGGGUGCCAAACCCGCACGCGAAAUGAAAGUAAACGCAGGUGAGAGCUUCGGCGCAUCACCGACCGAUCCUGAUGUCUUCGGAUGGAUUUGAGUAAGAGCCUUACCGCUUGGACCCGAAAGAUGGUGNCCUAUGCCUGUAUAGGGUGAAGCCAGAGGAAANNNCUGGUGGAGGCUCGCAGCGGUUCUGACGUGCAAAUCGAUCGUCAAAUAUGGGCAUGGGGCGAAAAACUAAUGGACCUCUAAAGGGUUAACGAAGUUUCCCUCAGGA